rnacentral:lncRNA from 1 species
CAGAGGACACCGGUAGGCAAAGCUCCCAAGCUGCUUAAAAUAGGAGCAAACUGCCCACCUCCCAGCAAAUCUCCCUACCUGCCCCCCAACCCUGUAUUGGAUGGUUUGGGAACAAAAGCUGUGGCACCAGUGAAACACCUAUUUGUUUUGACAAGGGACAAAUCUGAUUCUCUUGCUUCCUCUUUUCUUUGUAGGGUGUGCCCUCAGGAGGAUGGGAUAGAGAUAAAGUGUGAACUUACAAACCUGGCAGAGAGCAGGCACCUGGGAUGCAGUGGGCUGGUGGAAGAAAGAUGGCCUCAGUACUCCCAUCGAAGUAACAUGCUUGCUGGUAAGAAGGAUGCAGUUUUAAAGAACCCCAGCUUCUCCAUUCCUCACACCUGUAUACUGAUGACUUGGAGACUAACAUCUUCCAUUGCUAGGCUUAGGAAUGAAGUUUUGCCUCUGAAGGGAGUUGUGCAUUUGUAACUGUCAUUCAACCAAUGGUGAAAGAGUCACUGGUCCAGGGCCAAUGUGCUCUGCUGCCUCCGGGAAAGCAUAAGACAUCAGUCUGUGGAAGAGGGCACUGGUGGUUUCCUUCCCUCCAAGAGGACAUAGUUCAGUUGGGUACAUACUGCAUUUCCCAGAUUUUGAAUACACACGUUUUAAGGCUUCCAAAAUCAGGUAUCUUUUGACAUGGUAAUUCCUUUUCCUCCCCCAAUUUUUAAUUUGGUAAAUAUGUACAAUUUAUAUGCUCUUAACAUUUUUAAAUUUGAAAAUCGAGAGCAAAAUCUUAUAGCCUAAACAACAGGAGUGGUAAGAAUUUGGUGGUGGUGAACAACCAGAAAAUCUGGAGUCCCAGCCAUGUCCACUGCUAGGACCCAGAGAAGCCUAGCCUGGACUGGCCCAGCUGCCGGGCUGAUGAGUGUGACCUCUGAGGUGAUAAAAUAACACCCAUGUGGGAGGAAUGGCCAAUAAGAAGGACAUGCCAGCCCCACCUUAGAAAAAGGCAUGAGUAGAAAUGAAGGUGCUAUAUCACUAAAAAUGAUGACAUUGGGCCCC